rnacentral:rRNA from 1 species
GGGGCCUAAGAUGAAUGCUAAGUGUUAGAGGGUUUCCGCCCUUUAGUGCUGAAGUUAACGCAUUAAGCACUCCGCCUGGGGAGUACGGCCGCAAGGCUGAAACUCAAAGGAAUUGACGGGGGCCCGCACAAGCGGUGGAGCAUGUGGUUUAAUUCGAAGCAACGCGAAGAACCUUACCAGGUCUUGACAUCCUCUGAAAACCCUAGAGAUAGGGCUUCUCCUUCGGCGAGCAGAGUGACAGGUGGUGCAUGGUUGUCGUCAGCUCGUGUCGUGAGAUGUUGGGUUAAGUCCCGCAACGAGCGCAACCCUUGAUCUUAGUUGCCAUCAUUAAGUUGGGGCACUCUAAAGUGACUGCCAGUGACAAACCGGAGGAAGGUGGGGAUGACGUCAAAUCAUCAUGCCCCUUAUGACCUGGGCUACACACGUGCUACAAUGGACGGUACAAAGAGCUGCGGGGACCGCGAGGUGGAGCUAAUCUCAUAAAACCGUUCUCAGUUCGGAUUGUAGGCUGCAACUCGCCUACGUGAAGCUGGAAUCGCUAGUAAUUCGCGGAUCAUCAUGCCGCGGUGAAUACUGUUCCCCGGGGCCUUGUACACACCGCGGGGUCACACCACGGAGAGGUUUGUAACACCCGAAGUCGCUUGGAGGUAACAAAUUUUGGGAACCCCCCCUUUCCUAAGGGUGGCCACUCCAUUGAUUUGGGGGGGGAAAGUCCCA